rnacentral:misc_RNA from 1 species
UAUCCGUAGGUGAACCUGCGGAAGGAUCAUUAAAGAGAAUAUGCCCUUCGGGGUAGAUCUCCCACCCUUUGUUUAUAUUACCUUUGUUGCUUUGGCAGGCCCGUCUUCGGACCACCGGCUUCGGCUGGUCAGUGCUUGCCAGAGGACCCAAAACUCUUAUUAUUAAUGUCGUCUGAGUACUAUAUAAUAGUUAAAACUCUCAACAACGGAUCUCUUGGUUCUG